AACACGUACACCGCCAACGGAAGGGCCGGGGAACAAUACGCGGACAGAGCUCCGGCCCCCGCCUCCGCUGGUCACCCCGGGCGGUGGUCGGCGUGACCCCCAGCCACGAGCCCGGAGCGGGCGAGGGCGCAGGGCUGCCCGCGGCCGCCUCCCGGCCGGCGCCGUCUGCCAGGGAGGAUCAAAGUCCGCAAAGCAGGGCGCGGCAGAUGCUCCCACUCCGCGGCCCCGAGCGGGCACCCCCCGCCAGCACCCUCAGCGGGUACCCCCGGAUACCUUGCGGCAGCGGGCGGGCGCCGUCAUCUCCGCGCAGCUCGGCCCGGGAGGGACUCGAAAGGUGCGGUCCUUCUAGCUCUGAGGCUGCCAGCCGGGAGCGUGUUCUCCUUCCAACCAAUUGAACGCUGACUUGGCCUUUGUCACCUUUUCUUCACCACACUCCACAACUGAUGCUGAACUAUGGCUGUGGCCCCCAAGGGGCCAAUGAGGGCACAGGCUUCUAGCGGCCACAGUGUCCCCACCCCCCAAGGAACGGCUGAUGCUGUGUCAUCCACUUCGCCCUCCGAGGCAUCAGGGAAGCCACAUGCAAUAUCUCUUUCUCUCAGAGGGCUCCUGUUUCAACUCUGAAAAGCAGGGGCCUCCUCGGAGCCGCUCUCCAUCUCUACAGUUCCCACCACCGAGCUUCGCCCGGCUGCUGCAGCCCAAGUUAUCACGGAGCCUAGAGAAACCAGGCCUGGGCUGUGCUUCCUCCAUAAAGCAGCUGACAUGUUUCCAACUGUUAAUACUUUUCCUACCGAGGUUCUGAAAGGGCCUGUUCUCAGCCUUUGGAAACAACUUCAGACAGAUAACCGGGUAACUGGUUGUGGAAAAUAUAUGCCUCUUAACUAGUUGCAGACAAUACUACAGUAGAAUUACUUGAGACUAGUUAGGCGAGAUGGUGUUAUACAUACAGAAAGCGUGCUACUCUGCUUACUACUGAUUCCACCGCAGCAGCUCCUCUGAGGACACCUGCACACCAUACAAAGUUUUAAGCCCAAUCAUGCGCCUUUAAUUUGCAGCCUUAAGUGGAACUCUAGUUUUCAGGGCUACAGGCAGAAGUGUCUGUCUAGGCCUGGACUAAAUAGAUGGGUUUUGGCCAAGAUAGAACUCUCUAGAACCAAGCAAAAGUAGUUGGACCAUUACCUCUGACUUGAGAUAAGAAGGCUAAGCCACUGCCCGAGAGGGAACUGAUUCAGCUGGCUGUUUCUCUAACGUCCAGAUUCAUCAAAAUUAAGUUUUCAGAACCUGUUAUGUUUCCCAUGGUCUACUGUUUACUGAGGAAAACUCUACCCAAAGAAGUUUUAGCACUUGCAUUUUUCUUACGUCUCUCCCUACCCCCAGCCCAUGUACCCAAGUGUACUAUCAAAUGCUUUUUUGAAGACAGGCCAGCCUAGGAGGAGGCAAGUCUUUAAACAAGAGUAAUAGUUCACACAGUCACCACAGAAUUGGUGUCUGGAGCUUCCAAGUUGUAACGUGUUCCAAAGAGAAGGCAAAGGAAAGGCCAUGUGGGAAAUGCUAUUUUAUUCAUUUGCCCUGUCUUGGAUUCAGGAAUUAGCCUUUCCUAGUUUCCCCAUUCAUUGGUGGUGUUUGAGUAGGGACAACAUCAAAAGUUGGAAUUCUGGUUGGAAUUUAGCUUAUUCUGUAAAAUACAUUCAAACCUACAAAGCUACAUGAAUUUUCAUGACAAAUCGCCACCUUUAUAAUGUUACAUAGAUAACACUAGCAACUAAAAAAAGAGAAAACAAUAUAAAAAAAACUUACAAAUUGAAUUAUAAUCAUUCUGGACCCUGUGCUAAUCUUUUCUAGCUAGUUAAUAAACUUGCAAGUCAAAUGACCUGUUGAAAGGUCUGUUUGUUCAUGUUAUAUAUAAAUAUAAUUUAUCUGACAAAUAUUUAUCAAACACCUAAUAUUUAUCAAAACCACAGUGAAAUGCUACUUCACAUCCACUAGGAUGGCUACAACGAAAAAGACAGAUAAUAACAAGUAUUGGCGAGGGUGUGGAGAAACUGGAACCCUCAUGCAUUGCUGGUGGGAAUGUAAAAUGGUGCAGCCACCUUUAGAAACAGCUUGGCAGUUCUCAAAAUGUUAAACAUUGAGUUAACACAUGACCCAGCUAUUCCACUCAGGUAGAUACACAAGAAAUGAAAACAUAUGUCCACAUGAGAACUUGUACUUAAAUAUUCAUAGCAUUCAUAAUAGCUGAAAAGUAGAAACCCAAAUGCUCAUCAACUAAUGAAUGGAUAAACAAAAUGUGGUCCACUCAUGCAUGGAAUAAUAUUCAGCCAUGAAAAGGAAUAAAGUACCAUUAUAUGCUGCAGCAUGGAUCAACUUAGAAAAUAAGCUAAAUGAAAUAAGCCAGACCCAAAAGGACAAAUGUUAUGUUUCUGUUGCUAUGAAAUGUCUAGAAUAGGUAAAUCUACAGGAACAGAAAUUAGAUUGAUGUUUGCCUAGGGCUGAGAGGUUGGGGGGAAAUGAUGGGGAUUGACUGCUUAUGUGUGCGAGGUUUCUUUUUUGGGCUGAUAAAAGUGCUCUAACGCCCUGGCCGGUUUCUCAGUGGUUAGAUCAUCAGCCCUGUGACAGAAGGGCGCAUACCUAGGUUGCAAAUUUAAUCCCCACCCCAGUCGAGGCUCGAGCUGGAGGCAAUCAAUCAGUGUGUCUCUGUCACAUCCAAGUUUCUCUCUCUCUGUGUCGCUCCCCCUCCCUUCCACUCUCUCUAAAAAUCAAUGGAAAAAUAUCCUCAGGUGAGGAUUAACAACAACAGCAAAAAGUGCUCUAAAAUUGAUUGUGGUGAAGGCUGCACAACUCUUAAUUUAUUAAAACCAUUGAAUUGUAUACUUUAAA